UACAGAGGUCUCAAGCGUUUGUUCGGAUUCAUUGGGCGUAAAGGGUGCGUAGGCGGCGCGGUAAGUCGGGUGUGAAAUUUCGGAGCUUAACUCCGAAACUGCAUUCGAUACUGCCGUGCUUGAGGACUGGAGAGGAGACUGGAAUUUACGGUGUAGCGGUGAAAUGCGUAGAUAUCGUAAGGAAGACCAGUGGCGAAGGCGGCUCACUGGCCCGGUACUGACGCUGGAGGCGACGAAAGCGUGGGGAGCAAACAGG
rnacentral:rRNA from 1 species